UACGAAGGGUGCAAGCGUUACUCGGAAUUACUGGGCGUAAAGCGUGCGUAGGUGGUGAGUUAAGUCUGUCGUGAAAGCCCCGGGCUCAACCUGGGAAUGGCGAUGGAUACUGGCUCGCUAGAGUGCGGUAGAGGAGAGUGGAAUUCCCGGUGUAGAGGUGAAAUUCGUAGAUAUCGGGAGGAACACCAGUGGCGAAGGCGGCUCUCUGGACAGGUACUGACGCUGAGACGCGAAAGCGUGGGUAGCAAACAGG
rnacentral:rRNA from 1 species